rnacentral:lncRNA from 10 species
CACACACACACACACAGCCCGUCUCGCGCCUGAGGUCUCGCCCGCAGGCCGGUGGCGCGGGGUCAGCUGCUGCCUGCGGUCCAGGACAGGGUCGGUUCCGCCGCGCAGCGCCCAGGCCCAGCUCGUCCAGAGUCUGCGGACAGCGCACGUCCAGGCACUUUCCCACACAGGAUGGAGCCGGGCCACCCUCACAGCUCCUGCCCUGCAGACGCUGGCCUUGUGGAGGGAGGCAGGCAGCAGGAGCAGUGCUUUCUGGGCCUCUGUAGCCAGAGCUGGCCCUGCUGCAGCUUACGUCUGCCUGCAGCCCAGACGUCCUCCUGGUCCUCCUGAUGCCCCCGACCUCCACGGAGGACGAGCAUUUCCAGCCCAGCCCUCCCCAUCUUCACCUCGCACUCCCCUGACACACUGGGAGCCUCCUGAUCCGUGAACCCGCGCUGGCGGGAGUAGCUACUGACCGCUGGGGACCCCUGCCCAGGCUGUUCGCAUGUGGAAAGGAUUCAGGGAGCAGGCGAUGCCCAAAGCGUGGAGACCAGCACUGCUCUCUCCCCAGUGACAGGUGCACGCCCAGAUCACGGAUGUGUCGGGAACAGCUGUGCUCCUGCUGCUCAGCGUCCGUCACUCCAGGCUGGGAGCGGGUCCCCAAGCUUCUGGCUGGGCCUAUCCGUCUCCACUCUCAGUGUGGGGGUGGGGGGCGCCAACAGCACGCAUUUGCUCUCUGCACUUCUCGUCUGAUAAUGGGCAGAGGGUCCUUCUGCAGCCCCAAAACAUCCCUAGGCAGGAGCCCUGGGGCCCCAAGCAGCCAGGGAGGUGAGC